rnacentral:ncRNA from 1 species
AACCACUUUCCUGUGGAGCAUCAAAAUUCUUGUUUCUCUGUGUUAAGCACACAGAAUAAAGAAUCAGGAUGAUGCCCCACAACAUUUGCCUAUGUAUUAGAAAGCCAUGCUGAGGUACAUGGAAGGAAAUCGUGAUCUAUCUGGCCCCAAGGGAUGAUGGAAAAAGAGAUAAAAUGGAAAUACAAACUGUGAGCAGUUUCUGCUCUGAACUGUAAACAUCAAUGUGGAAUUUUUGGCCGAUGGAGUGGUUCUAUUUUGUUGGUUUUCAGAACUGAGUUCAAAAUUAAGAGGGGCGCUUGGGGGCAUUCAUAUUGUGCCACUAAAUGUAAUUUGUUGCACUGGUGAAAGACAGACCAGAGAGAAAGCAUUUGCCAAUAAUGUUUUCAUUAAUCAAGAAAGAAAGUCAGUGGUUCAAAGAUGAUCAGAAAGCAUCUUAGUUCUGACCACAAACAAUGCCAUCUGGAGAUGCAGUGGUGUUAUUCCCAUCACCCUCCCUGGCAGCUUCCUGGAAACCUAAGUGUUUGAGUUUGGGGUCAGUAUAGUUGCAAAGAUGAAACUUAAAGGAAUUGAUGGAAGGGCACCACUAGGAGUGGAGCCUGCGACUUAGUUUGACUCAACAAAGGAGACCUCACCCUGAUCAGACACGGACAGGAUUAACAUAUUGAUUGCUCUUUCUUGAAUCCAUGGGUGGUGGUGCAUGGCCAUUCUUAUUUGAUGGAGCGAUUUGUCUGGUUAAUUCCAAUAAGGAAGGAGACUCUGGCAUGCUAACAAGUUAAGUGACCCCAGAGUGGUCAGCAUGCCCCAACUUCUUAAAGGGACAAGUGGCAUUCAGCCACCUGAGAUUGAGCAAUAACAGGUCUGU